CUACGCUACUACGUUGACUCGAACGUUUUGGGAGUAACGCUAUUCUGCUGGUGCGAGCGCGUGCUCGCAACACCCCUGAAAACGGGAAUGUAGCAACGGUGAUGGUGUGCUGGUGGUAUGUAGUAGGGAUGAUGGCGAUGGAGGCUGCAACGAUGAAAGCGGCGACAACAGAGGCGCAACGACUGUAUCGGGGAUAAAACGGAAUUAGGGGAAGAGAAGCUUAGAUUGACGAUAACAAAAUGGGAAAGAUAGAAGGUGAAAGUUACUAGAUAUGAAAACGAACAGAGGUUAUAGAAGAGAAC